rnacentral:pre_miRNA from 1 species
AUCAUACUCCCUCUGUUCCAAAUUACUCGUCGCAGAAAUGGAUGUAUGUAGAACUAAAAUACAUCUAGAUACAUCCAUAUUUGCGACAAGUAAUUCGGAAGGGAGGGAGUACAUC